CGGUCAGGACGAACGGCUGGCGGCGUGCCUAACACAUGCAAGUCGAGCGAUGAAGCCCUUCGGGGCUGAUUAGCGGCGGACGGGUGAGUAACACGUGGGUAACCUGCCUCAUAGAGGGGGAUAGCCUCCCGAAAGGGAGAUUAAUACCGCAUAAUGAUUUUGGCUGCAUGGCCGAAAUAUCAAAGGAGUAAUCCGCUAUGAGAUGGACCCGCGGCGCAUUAGCUAGUUGGUGAGGUAACGGCUCACCAAGGCGACGAUGCGUAGCCGACCUGAGAGGGUGAUCGGCCACAUUGGAACUGAGACACGGUCCAGACUCCUACGGGAGGCAGCAGUGGGGAAUAUUGCGCAAUGGGGGAAAAACCCCCUGACCCAGCAACGCCGCGUGAAGGAAGAAGGCCUUCGGGUUGUAAACUUCUUCGAUCAGGGAAGAAACAAAUGACGGUACCUGAAAAACAAGCCACGGCUAACUACGUGCCAGCAGCCGC
rnacentral:rRNA from 1 species